rnacentral:rRNA from 1 species
CAGUAGCCACGGUAAUACAGAGGGUGCGAGCGUUAAUCGGAUUUACUGGGCGUAAAGCGUGCGUAGGCGGCUUCUUAAGUCGGAUGUGAAAUCCCUGAGCUUAACUUAGGAAUUGCAUUCGAUACUGGGAAGCUAGAGUAUGGGAGAGGAUGGUAGAAUUCCAGGUGUAGCGGUGAAAUGCGUAGAGAUCUGGAGGAAUACCAAUGGCGAAGGCAGCCAUCUGGCCUAAUACUGACGCUGAGGUACGAAAGCAUGGGGAGCAAACAGGAUUAGAUACCCCUGUAGUCCCUGUCUCUUAUAC